rnacentral:rRNA from 1 species
AUGGUAACUGCAAAAACUUCUAGUUAUGAUUCAGCACAUGAUGCCAAUCCUGUUUUACGUGAUGUGAUGUACUACGGGAGGGUAAUUGAUAUUGUCGAGCUAAACUACUCUGGACAGUUUUCAGUGGUGUUGUUUAAAUGUGAAUGGGUUAAUGUGUUCUCAGGAACAGGAAUGAAAAAAGACAAGUACGGUUACACACUUGUCAACUUCUCACAUCUAAUACACAAAGGAGAACAGAUUGAGCAUGAGCCUUUUAUUUUCCCUAACCAGGCGAAUCAAGUGUUCUAUGUGGAAGAUGAAUUGAAUCCAGGUUGGUCUGUGGUAAUG